AUGUAAUGAUGGUAAAUUCUGUUUUUCAACUUAUUUACCAAAAUAUUCAAACAAUACAUUUACCAAAUAACAGGUACUGCAAUAAAAGUAUAGAAUACAUAGGAUAUGAGCCAGUUAUUGUAUUUCAUAAAUUAAGUGCUUUCAAACCUAACUAUAAAAGGCAUAUUGAAAAACAACUUGUUUUAAACGAAGGUUGAAAAGUAAUUCUACAUAUCAAUGAUAAAGAGAUUACACCAUCAGAUAUUGGACUACCAGAUACUGUCAUAAAAAAUAUUGAAGAUUUAAAAUUAUAUUUGUACACUCUGGAUGAAAUUAAGUUUUGUCAAGGAGCUGUUUCUUCCAUAAACUAUCCUGAUAUAAGAGCAUCAUUUGGAACUCAGUAUAUAGAAUCUAAUGGUUAUUGGCGACAUAAUAAAUGUUUAAUAGUACUGAACGAUGACAAUAGUAAAUGCAAUGUUUGUUCUUGGUGUAAACGUUUGGUAUACUCAAUACAAAAGAAACAUACAAAUUUACUUAAUAAAAAAACAAUUAGAACAUUUUACUCUCCUAAUAAAAACAAAAUUUACUAACGACUUUUAAAAUCAAC